UAAAGUGAUUUUGACGGAACAUGCGAAACAUUUCUUAGAUUUGGCUAGCAUGCCGCAGAGUGCAGAAUAUUGGAUGAUGAGAUGGAAUGAAAAGCCUGGAAUAAACGUGGUGAUCCAGUAGUGCAUAUUGAGUUAGGAAAAUGAGUCGAUUUAUUAGUGAUUGCACCGCUCAGUGCGAAUUCUUUGGCAAAAAUAUCAAUCUUGGACAUAUAAGCCACAAAUCUAUUGGCUUAGUCCAUCUCCGUUCAACAUUCCAAAAAAAAAAAAAUAUCAAUCAAUGGGAUUAUGCGAUAAUCUUCUUAUGUGUAUGGUACGCGCUUGGGAUUUGAAAAAACCGCUUUUAUUUUGCCCUGCUAUGAGUACACGCAUGCAUGGUCAUCCAAUUACAACGGACCAAAUUAAUAAACUUGCAGCUACCAAGAAAUACCAAGUAUAGCAAAGACUCGAAUAUAUGAUGAUACUCACCGAACGAAAACACAUGGUGGAUCAUGGAUUUCCUGAAUUUUAGAAUUUAAUAGCUUUAUUAUACAUUUAAAAUACUUUAUUAAUAUAUAUAAAAGAAUUAUUAUUCUUUUUAAUGGUUUCCUGAUUGUUUCCGAUUCUUUUUCCUUGACGCUUGGGGGAAAUAAAAUAAAACUAGCGAUAAGAAUCUAUCUGAACGAAUUAUUCUUAUUAUGAAAAAUAAACAAAACUCUUUUACAACAAUUGAAA